rnacentral:pre_miRNA from 1 species
AUCCCCUGGGGAUCUUGUUAAAAUGCAGAUUCUGAGUCACUAUUUGUUGGACUGGGCAGGAGAGUCUGCAUUUUUAACGAGUUCUCAGGUGGUACUGA